UGAACCUUAUCAUUUAUAGGAAGGAGAAGUCGUAACAAGGUUUCCGUAGGUGAACCUUGCGGAAGGAUCAUUGUCGUG
rnacentral:rRNA from 1 species